AGAGUUUGAUCCUGGCUCAGAUUGAACGCUGGCGGCAUGCUUUACACAUGCAAGUCGAACGGUAACAGGCCGCAAGGUGCUGACGAGUGGCGAACGGGUGAGUAAUGCAUCGGAACGUGCCCAAUCGUGGGGGAUAACGCAGCGAAAGCUGUGCUAAUACCGCAUACGAUCUACGGAUGAAAGCGGGGGACUCGCAAGAGCCUCGCGCGAUUGGAGCGGCCGAUGUCAGAUUAGGUAGUUGGUGGGGUAAAGGCUCACCAAGCCAACGAUCUGUAGCUGGUCUGAGAGGACGACCAGCCACACUGGAACUGAGACACGGUCCAGACUCCUACGGGAGGCAGCAGUGGGGAAUUUUGGACAAUGGGCGCAAGCCUGAUCCAGCAAUGCCGCGUGCAGGAAGAAGGCCUUCGGGUUGUAAACUGCUUUUGUACGGAACGAAACGGUCUGGAUUAAUACCCUGGGCUAAUGACGGUACCGUAAGAAUAAGCACCGGCUAACUACGUGCCAGCAGCCGCGGUAAUACGUAGGGUGCGAGCGUUAAUCGGAAUUACUGGGCGUAAAGCGUGCGCAGGCGGUUUUGUAAGACAGUCGUGAAAUCCCCGGGCUCAACCUGGGAAUGGCGAUUGUGACUGCAAGGCUGGAGUGCGGCAGAGGGGGAUGGAAUUCCGCGUGUAGCAGUGAAAUGCGUAGAUAUGCGGAGGAACACCGAUGGCGAAGGCAAUCCCCUGGGCCUGCACUGACGCUCAUGCACGAAAGCGUGGGGAGCAAACAGGAUUAGAUACCCUGGUAGUCCACGCCCUAAACGAUGUCAACUGGUUGUUGGGUCUCUUCUGACUCAGUAACGAAGCUAACGCGUGAAGUGACCCGCCUGGA
rnacentral:rRNA from 1 species